rnacentral:rRNA from 1 species
UACGGAGGGUGCGAGCGUUAAUCGGAAUCACUGGGCGUAAAGCGCGCGUAGGCGGCUUUUCAAGUCAGGGGUGAAAUCCCACGGCCCAACCGUGGAACUGCCUCUGAAACUGUAGAGCUUGAGUGUCGGAGAGGGUGGCGGAAUUCCAGGUGUAGGAGUGAGAUCCGUAGAUAUCUGGAGGAACACCGGUGGCGAAGGCGGCCACCUGGACGACAACUGACGCUGAGGUGCGAAAGCGUGGGUAGCAAACAGG